rnacentral:rRNA from 1 species
GUGAGUAACACGUGGAUAACCUACCUAUAAGACUGGGAUAACUUCGGGAAACGGAGCUAAUACCGGAUAAUAUUUUGAACCGCAUGGUCUCAAAAGUGAAAGACGGUCUUGCUGUCACUUAUAGAUGGAUCCGCGCUGCAUUAGCUAGUUGGUAAGGUAACGGCUUACCAAGGCAACGAUGCAUAGCCGACCUGAGAGGGUGAUCGGCCACACUGGAACUGAGACACGGUCCAGACUCCUACGGGAGGCAGCAGUAGGGAAUCUUCCGCAAUGGGCGAAAGCCUGACGGAGCAACGCCGCGUGAGUGAUGAAGGUCUUCGGAUCGUAAAACUCUGUUAUUAGGGAAGAACAUAUGUGUAAGUAACUGUGCACAUCUUGACGGUACCUAAUCAGAAAGCCACGGCUAACUACGUGCCAGCAGCCGCGGUAAUACGUAGGUGGCAAGCGUUAUCCGGAAUUAUUGGGCGUAAAGCGCGCGUAGGCGGUUUUUUAAGUCUGAUGUGAAAGCCCACGGCUCAACCGUGGAGGGUCAUUGGAAACUGGAAAACUUGAGUGCAGAAGAGGAAAGUGGAAUUCCAUGUGUAGCGGUGAAAUGCGCAGAGAUAUGGAGGAACACCAGUGGCGAAGGCGACUUUCUGGUCUGUAACUGACGCUGAUGUGCGAAAGCGUGGGGAUCAAACAGGAUUAGAUACCCUGGUAGUCCACGCCGUAAACGAUGAUCCUAAGUGUUAGGGGGUUUCCGCCCCUUAGUGCUGCAGCUAACGCAUUAAGCACUCCGCCUGG